rnacentral:rRNA from 1 species
CAGUCGCCACGGGAAUACGAGGGGGGCAAGCGUUGUUCGGAAUUAUUGGGCGUAAAGGGUGCGUAGGCGGUCUGAUAAGUCUGAUGUGAAAUCUAUGGGCUCAACCCAUAGUCUGCAUUAGAAACUGUCGGGCUUGAGUAUGGGAGAGGUGAGUGGAAUUUCCGGUGUAGCGGUGAAAUGCGUAGAUAUCGGAAGGAACACCUGUGGCGAAAGCGGCUCACUGGACCAUUACUGACGCUGAUGCACGAAAGCUAGGGGAGCAAACAGGAUUAGAUACCCCCGUAGUCCCUGUCUCUUAUAC